UACGUAGGGUGCGAGCGUUUGUCCGGAAUUAUUGGGCGUAAAGAGCUCGUAGGCGGUGUGUCACGUCGGCCGUGAAAACCUGCAGCUUAACUGUGGGCGUGCGGUCGAUACGGGCAUCACUGGAGUUCGGCAGGGGAGACUGGAAUUCCUGGUGUAGCGGUGAAAUGCGCAGAUAUCAGGAGGAACACCGGUGGCGAAGGCGGGUCUCUGGGGCCGAUACUGACGUGAGGAGCGAAAGCGUGGGGAGCAAACAGG
rnacentral:rRNA from 1 species